UACGUAGGCAGCAAACGUUGUUCGGAAUUACUGGGCGUAAAGAGUGUGUAGGCGGUUCUGUUUGUUUGGCGUGAAAUCUCCCGGCUCAACUUGGGGGGUGCGCCGAAUACUGCAAAGCUAGAGUACUGGAGAGGAAAGCGGAAUUCCUGGUGUAGCGGUGAAAUGCGUAGAUAUCAGGAGGAACACCGGUGGUGUAGACGGCUUUCUGGACAGUAACUGACGCUGAUACACGAAAGCGUGGGGAGCAAACAGG
rnacentral:rRNA from 1 species